rnacentral:tRNA from 1 species
GGGAAUGUGGCUUAGUGGUAGAGUACUUGCCUAGCAUGCAUGAAGUCCUGGGUUCAGUUCCUCAGUACCA